UAAAAGAUACAACAAAAAGCAGGGGUCAAAAUAAAACGUUUCCAGAAUUAUGGCGAUAAAAUGGAAUUUCAGCUUUAAAAUGUUCCCGGGAAAGCUUUUUCCAAUUAAUAAAUCCUCAGUAAACCCAGGAUGAAGCAUAGAUAAAUCUUACUCAAGCUUUUAAUCAGGCUCAGCGUAUAAAUAGAGAGGUCCCUUUGAUCCAUUAAGGUUUGAGCCGACGCGAUUUUCUUAUCUCGCCAUCAUGUACGGAAACAAAUGCCCUAGAAGCUAGAAAAGGGUUCUUCUCCUUCACUCUUCUUCUCUAACACAGCACAAGAACGAGACGCUUCGUCAGCUCCAUUUCUUCUGCUUUUCUCAUCAGGUUCCUCAAGUUUUUCUUUUAUUUUUCUCGGAUUUUUUAGAGGUUUUUUUUUUCCUGAUAUGAAUGGUGGAUUUUUAUUUUUUAUUUUUUAUUUUUAGUUGAUGGAUUUGGAUUUGGAUUUUUCAUUUAUAGAGUUGAGACUGGGUAUCAUUUCAUCUGAAAACUACGACGUUUAGGGUUCUUAAUGCUCCUUGUUACUGGAUCUUUUUAAUUUUAUGUAUAUGAAUUUUACUCUGCUUAAGAACAGCUCUCUUGAUAUUUGACCCCAAAAACAAACAGCUCUCUUGAUAUUUCUUUUUCUUAAUUAUAGCUUUUUUUUGUAUCAAUUGUUUUUUCUCAUUUAGUGUAACUAUUUGAAUGUGCAAGACAUGGAUAACAUACAAGAUAUCGCACAAGGGAUGCAGGAAUUUAAAAUUGAAGCGAUCUCAUGCACUUUUCCCCAGGAAAUCAUACAAGAGAUCCUACUUAGGCUAACCGUCAAAUCUGUUAUCAAAUGCAUCUCAGUGUGCAAGACAUGGAGGUCCAUGAUCAUAAACCAAAGCUUUAUUCGCACCCACCUCAACCCAACAGUUCAUGUUAAUAACCUGAACGCCAGUCACCUAUUCCUAAUCCACAGGGUUGCUGGUAAGAGGAGCGUCACUAUGUUCCACAAAGCCCUUGUUGAAGAUGUACUGGAAGAGGUUUAUUCUCUGCAUUAUGAUAACAAGGCUUUUGACGAGUACUCCAAGAUAGAAUUUCCAAUUGCUCCAAAGCAAGAACUGUACAAUCGACAUCUUCGUGUGGUCGGCACUUGUAACGGGCUAAUCUGCUUUGCGGAUGAUAUCUUCCGUUAUGGUUACGAUAUCUUUAUAUGGAACCCAGCCAUUAGAAAGUUAGUGACCCUUCCCUGGCCUGGUGUUACCUAUAUGACACAUGGUGGAUACGAUGCUUCUAUUGGGUUUGGUUUUGAUGCUAAUACCAAUGACUAUAAGGUUGUGAUGAAAGAGUAUGGCAUAAAGGAGUCGUGGACCAAAUUGCUUGGUCCACAGGGGCCGGAAAGACUUCUACCCAGGGGCAUUAUGUUUUAGGAAGAGCGGCGAAGUAUUACUGAUGCUUUGUGGAGAUAGGGAAGAAUUUUCCGGUGAUGAUGAUAACUUUGAUAAUUACUACAUAAAAUCAAAACUGUUGCUGCCACGUAGUGAGUUUUAUGCAUUCAUAUUAGAGUCUUAUUUGCUGCUGUAAAUUGUAAUAUAUAUGGAAUUGUUCAACAGUUUGUGCAGUGAAUUUCUUUUCCAAUGCUUUUCAUGAACAGGACUCGUAGGGCUGCAACUUCCUUUUCCUCAAGUGCCUGGAAUGCUGGUGCCUUUUGUUGACAUGGAACUUCUUAUCCCAAGUGCUGAUAUAUUUUCUCGACUAGUUUUUAGGACAAUUAUUAACUUAGUUUUUGACCUAUGGAAGUAUGCACCUGUUACAUAUUUGAAUUGGUUAUGCAGUUCUAAACUAGCGAAUGAUUUUGCAAAUUUUUUCCCUCAACAAUUAACAGUAUUUGCAUUUGAUAUGAUUCCCUUCA